rnacentral:rRNA from 1 species
GAUGAACGCUGGCGGCGUGCCUAAUACAUGCAAGUCGAGCGAACGGACGAGAAGCUUGCUUCUCUGAUGUUAGCGGCGGACGGGUGAGUAACACGUGGAUAACCUACCUAUAAGACUGGGAUAACUUCGGGAAACCGGAGCUAAUACCGGAUGAUAUUUUGAACCGCAUGGUUCAAAAGUGAAAGACGGUCUUGCUGUCACUUAUAGAUGGAUCCGCGCUGCAUUAGCUAGUUGGUAAGGUAACGGCUUACCAAGGCAACGUUGCAUAGCCGACCUGAGAGGGUGAUCGGCCACACUGGAACUGAGACACGGUCCAGACUCCUACGGGAGGCAGCAGUAGGGAAUCUUCCGCAAUGGGCGAAAGCCUGACGGAGCAACGCCGCGUGAGUGAUGAAGGUCUUCGGAUCGUAAAACUCUGUUAUUAGGGAAGAACAAAUGUGUAAGUAACUGUGCACAUCUUGACGGUACCUAAUCAGAAAGCCACGGCUAACUACGUG